rnacentral:rRNA from 1 species
AUUGAACGCUGGCGGCAGGCCUAACACAUGCAAGUCGAACGGUAACAGGGAUCAGCUUGCUGAUUCGCUGACGAGUGGCGGACGGGUGAGUAAUGUCUGGGAAACUGCCUGAUGGAGGGGGAUAACUACUGGAAACGGUAGCUAAUACCGCAUAACGUCGCAAGACCAAAGAGGGGGACCUUCGGGCCUCUUGCCAUCGGAUGUGCCCAGAUGGGAUUAGCUAGUAGGUGGGGUAACGGCUCACCUAGGCGACGAUCCCUAGCUGGUCUGAGAGGAUGACCAGCCACACUGGAACUGAGACACGGUCCAGACUCCUACGGGAGGCAGCAGUGGGGAAUAUUGCACAAUGGGCGCAAGCCUGAUGCAGCCAUGCCGCGUGUAUGAAGAAGGCCUUCGGGUUGUAAAGUACUUUCAGCGGGGAGGAAGGGAGUAAAGUUAAUACCUUUGCUCAUUGACGUUACCCGCAGAAGAAGCACCGGCUAACCCCGUG